AAAAAAGUAUAAGUAUGUCCCAUACACUAUUUGGGAUAUAUUUAUACUAAAA
rnacentral:pre_miRNA from 1 species